rnacentral:lncRNA from 1 species
GUCACAAUGGUGGACUGUCCAGGUGCUGGCUCGGGAGGGAGGUCCACGUCACAAUGGUGGACUGUCCGGGUAGUGGCUCGGGAGGGAGGUCCACGUCACAAUGGUGGACUGUCCAGGUACUGGCUCAGGAGGGAGGUCCACGUCACAAUGGUGGACUGUCCGGGUGCUGGCUCAGGAGGGAGGUCCACGUCACAAUGGUGGACUGUCCAGGUGCUGGCUCAGGAGGGAGGUCCACGUCACAAUGGUGGACUGUCCGGGUACUGGCUCGGGAGGGAGGUCCACGUCACAAUGGUGGACUGUCCAGGUGCUGGCUC